AAAACGUCAAAUGCCUCGUAACCUGCAAGGCCGAGCAGACAAUUUCCCGAAAGCAGCAUCCGGUGCUUGAUUUACACGAAGGCAUCUGCAGCGCCCGCAAACGUGCCGAACACGGGCGAGUGUCAAACUGCAGGCAACAGUCGCGCUCUGUCAAUUACCCGGUUUCGUACCCACAUGUUUUCCUAUUUCUAACUCAAGUAAUGGCAAUGCCCGGCCAGCAUCACGAUAAGAUCGAAUUUUUGGAACAAAGUGGCUUUUCGCGAAACAAGAGACCAUAAACCGAUGCCGCAGUGGCGCAACAUAAAGCACAGUACAGAUGGCAAGCAACAUGCAAGUAAAAGACUGCAUGCUGUGCCGUGACGAAAUGGUUGAAUCCACCGAUAAAGCGAUCUUAGCGUUAGUACAAGAGGCCACGCAAUAUUUUCAUCCGGUUGAUCUCUAUUUGAUUCAGGAUGAUAAUGAUGUCUCAUAACAUAAUGAAUGAAGGAAUAGCAAUCUGAUUUCUGAUGGCUUACGAGCUUCAAGAAAUGCAUAAACGCAUUUUCAUCGAAGUACUGGCAAUCUGAUUUCUGAUGUCUUACGAGCUUCAAGAUAUGCAUAAACGCAUUUUCAUCGAAGUUUUUGAUUUUACAGUACUGGCAAUCUGAUUUCUGAUGUCUUACGAGCUUCAAGAUAUGCAUAAACGCAUUUUCAUCGAAGGAUUGGCAAUCUGAUUUCUGAUGUCGUCUCAUGAGCUUCAUGAAAUGCAUCAAUAUGUUUUCAUCGAAGGAUUGGCAAUCUGAUUUCUGAUGUCGUCUCAUGAGCUUCAUGAAAUGCAUCAAUAUGUUUUCAUCGAAGGAUUGGCAAUCUGAUUUCUGAUGUCGUCUCAUGAGCUUCAUGAAAUGCAUCAAUAUGUUUUCAUCGAAGAACUGGCAAUCUGAUUUCUGAUGUCUUACGAGCUUCAAGAAAUGCAUAAACGCAUUUUCAUCGAAGGAUUGGCAAUCUGAUUUCUGAUGUCUUACGAGCUUAAAGAUAUGCAUAAACGCAUUUUCAUCGAAGUACUGGCAAUCUGAUUUCUGAUGUCUUACGAGCUUCAAGAUAUGCAUAAACGCAUUUUCAUCGAAGUACUGGCAAUCUGAUUUCUGAUGUCUUACGAGCUUCAAGAUAUGCAUAAACGCAUUUUCAUCGAAGGAAUAGCAAUCUGAUUUCUGAUGGCUUACGAGCUUCAAGAAAUGCAUAAACGCAUUUUCAUCGAAGGAUUGGCAAUCUGAUUUCUGAUGUCGUCUCAUGAGCUUCAUGAAAUGCAUCAAUAUGUUUUCAUCGAAGGAUUGGCAAUCUGAUUUCUGAUGUCUUACGAGCUUAAAGAUAUGCAUAAACGCAUUUUCAUCGAAGUACUGGCAAUCUGAUUUCUGAUGUCUUACGAGCUUCAAGAAAUGCAUAAACGCAUUUUCAUCGAAGUACUGGCAAUCUGAUUUCUGAUGUCUUACGAGCUUCAAGAUAUGCAUAAACGCAUUUUCAUCGAAGGAAUAGCAAUCUGAUUUCUGAUGGCUUACGAGCUUCAAGAAAUGCAUAAACGCAUUUUCAUCGAAGGAUUGGCAAUCUGAUUUCUGAUGUCGUCUCAUGAGCUUCAUGAAAUGCAUCAAUAUGUUUUCAUCGAAGAACUGGCAAUCUGAUUUCUGAUGUCUUACGAGCUUCAAGAAAUGCAUAAACGCAUUUUCAUCGAAGGAUUGGCAAUCUGAUUUCUGAUGUCGUCUCAUGAGCUUCAUGAAAUGCAUCAAUAUGUUUUCAUCGAAGAUCUUCUGUGGGUCAUUGGCACCGGGAAGACCAUCCUGUGGAUCGUCAUAGUCACAGUUGUUACAGCAUUGUGGACCGGUUGUCAGCGAUACACCUGACAAUUCUAAAGACAUCAUCAUCGAAUCAUGUCACCGCUUUUCACUAAUAAUGUCUUACCAAACAACUUAAACCCAGAUCUUAAAUACCACCCGCGUUCAAGUAUUUAAUUUCAUUUAGUUUAUUUAAUUCGACACAGCAAUAGGCUCCCUUGAAAGCAACACAUGUACACAGGCUUAGGAAGCAAUUGCGGAACAUACCGUGUUCAUGAAGAUAGCAAAUGACGGUAGAAUAAGGUAGAACGGUUCUAAACAGGCCAAACGUGUGCGACAGUCUUUGAUGGCGAUUAGAUCGCGGGUACAAAGUCUUCUAGUUGGAGCAUAUAAAUUGAUUUUGGAUAGAAGAAAGGGAAACCCACUACGUUAGUUUAGGACAGGGGUCUCCAAACUUUUCCUCUCGCUGGCCGAAUUGCUUCGCAAAUAGCUAUGUUGAGGGCCAUUUGACGUUACCUUUUACUUAUGAGCGAAUGUUGAAAUCUCGUUUUUAUACCAAAAUACUAACGAAAGUUGUGCAGCUUUGUUCUAUUGAAUAUGACAAUUAACUAAUCUAGUUUUAUGGUAAAUAUGAAUAAUUACCAAUGAAAAAUAAAUGAAUAAAUAAAUGAAUUAAAUCAACUCA